UACGUAGGGUCCGAGCGUUGUCCGGAAUUACUGGGCGUAAAGAGCUCGUAGGUGGUUUGUCGCGUUGUUCGUGAAAACUCACAGCUCAACUGUGGGCGUGCGGGCGAUACGGGCAGACUGGAGUACUGCAGGGGAGACUGGAAUUCCUGGUGUAGCGGUGGAAUGCGCAGAUAUCAGGAGGAACACCGGUGGCGAAGGCGGGUCUCUGGGCAGUAACUGACGCUGAGGAGCGAAAGCGUGGGGAACGAACAGG
rnacentral:rRNA from 1 species